rnacentral:rRNA from 1 species
CGUACACUCCUACGGGAGGCAGCAGUGGGGAAUAUUGGACAAUGGGCGCAAGCCUGAUCAAGCCAUGCCGCGUGAGUGAUGAAGGCCCUAGGGUUGAAAAGCUCUUUCACCGGUGAAGAUAAUGACGGUAACCGGAGAAGAAGCCCCGGCUAACUUCGUGCCAGCAGCCGCGGUAAUACGAAGGGGGCUAGCGUUGUUCGGAUUUACUGGGCGUAAAGCGCACGUAGGCGGACUAUUAAGUCAGGGGUGAAAUCCCGGGGCUCAACCCCGGAACUGCCUUGGAUACUGGUAGUCUUGAGUUCGGGAGAGGUGAGUGGAAUUCCGAGUGUAGAGGUGAAAUUCGUAGAUAUUCGGAGGAACACCAGUGGCGAAGGCGGCUCACUGGCUCGAUACUGACGCUGAGGUGCGAAAGCGUGGGGAGCAAACAGGAUUAGAAACCCGUGUAGUCCCA